rnacentral:rRNA from 1 species
CGGACGAACGCUGGCGGCGUGCUUAAUACAUGCAAGUCGAGCGAGGCCUUGGAAUUGGAGUCCUUCGGGAUGAAGAGUCCUUGGCCUAGCGGCGGACGGGUGAGUAACGCGUGGGCAACCUACCCCAAAGUCCGGGAUAACAGCGGGAAACCGCUGCUAAUACCGGAUGACUUUACCUGAGGGCAUCCUUGGGUAAAGAAAGGUUACGCUUUGGGAUGGGCCCGCGUCCCAUUAGCUAGUUGGUGAGGUAACGGCUCACCAAGGCGACGAUGGGUAGCCGGCCUGAGAGGGUGAACGGCCACACUGGGACUGAGACACGGCCCAGACUCCUACGGGAGGCAGCAGUAGGGAAUAUUGCGCAAUGGGCGGAAGCCUGACGCAGCGACGCCGCGUGAGCGAAGAAGGCCUUCGGGUCGUAAAGCUCUGUCCUUGGGGAAGAAGGCGAAAGCUUGACGGUACCCAAGAAGAAAGCCCCGGCUAACUACGUG